rnacentral:misc_RNA from 1 species
UUAAGUUCAGCGCGUAUUCCUACCUGAUCCGAGGUCAACCAUUGAAAAAUUUCCCGCUGAAGGGAGAGGACCGGGUCCCGGGUGCCCUGGUCCGGCACGUGCUCAGUUACAAGCUCAGUGUACCGGGGGAACCACAGGCCGCCGUCAUUGUCUUUAGGAGGGGUCGCGAUAACGCGGCCAGGCCGUCCAACACCAAGCAC